rnacentral:lncRNA from 1 species
CAAACCCCACUACAAACACCACCCCAAAUUCAUCACAGAUCAAACCUAAUUAAAAAACAAACCACAAGUUCAUAAUGUUAAUUUUUUAAUAUUAUUUAAAUAUCAGUAUGUCCUUUGGUAACGUUUAAAAUUCAGAGUUGUAUUUUAGUCAAGUUUUAAGAGUUUAAUUCUUAGUUAUUGCUAUCAGUGGCAUAACGUGAUUGAACAUACCAUAAUUGAAUAGAAGUGUUUGUGUAAUAUCUCAGAGAGGAUUCCAUAUACAUCAAUGUUAAAAGCAUGGUGAAUAGAAUAGAAUAGAAUAGAAUAGAAUGGAAUAGUAAAUUUGAACUAGAUAUAAAAGAGCCAGAAGACAUGCCAGUGCAAAAAUAUAUUACAGUCACUAAUGCUUUCUCUUCAAUUGUACUAAUAAGAAGUAUCCUAACACUAUUCCUAGUUCAAGUAUUAACAUGGAUUCUAUGGAGCUCAUGAGAGAUAAUAGUAAGGUAUACCUAGUUCCUUCAUUAGGUAGCUUUCUGGUUUCCCUGGAUGUUUUCAGCCUGUACUUGGAUUUAUAGUUUCUUGUUUAGAAUGCUGUGGUUUGGCAGGACCUUCAAUGUGGUACCUGGUUUCAUUUAUUUAUAAUGAACAGGGUAUGAUCUUACAACCGUGGCUUUUGUAUAGUUCUACCUAGUUUCAUUUGUGGCCCACUCUAGGCUGAUGACUUCUGAUUCUCAGCAUAGGGUAGAAUGAAACUUUGUUUCUAUAAUACUGUACUCAGUGUUCCCAGUUGUCAACUCUGGGUGCUUUUAUAACAAACACAUUCGAAAAAGAUAUCAUAAGGAAGAAGCUAGUCUGGGAAAAUAGUUCUUUAUAAAGUCACAUCAUGGAUAAUGACUGUACUGUUUUCAUCAGAGUAGCAAGGAGCACAGAAAUGGAGCGAUUAAUAAUAUGGGAAUCUUUUUUCUCGUGUUUAUUUUGGAGCCAUUUGGCUUUAUUGAAGAACAAGUAUUAAAUCGUCUUAUUUCCCAAUCCUUAUGGAAAUAAUGAAUGUCUUUACAAGUCUCAUCUAUCUGUAGACACACGUUCUGAUCUUAUUUGGUUCUGAAAAAGCUCAAGACCUGGGACACUCAUGGAUUUGUUGUCAGGCUGGGUUUGGUUUUAUGUUCAUGAUUAUCUACUUAUAAUCUCUGCAUCAAUAAUGCAAAUCGUACACAUUUUCUGUAAUUUGGAAGAGCAUGAAUGGGAUCACUCUGUGUACGCAGAGCUGAGCUUCUGAGGACUCACUCCCAUGAAUAGUGAUGAGCUUACCAUGUAAAACAUUUUUCUUGCACCAUUUGCUUUCCCUUUAAUUUCCUUAAAUGCAAUCCUACGUAUCAGUCACUCUUGAUGCACAGACUUCAAAUACAGUAGGUGGCCUUUGAACUCAAUAUGCAGAUCUUAAGAAUUAGGGAAAAUGCAUACUUUUCUUCAUCACAUAGGUGGCUUUCUAAAAAGUUUGACUCAGAUUUUUAAAAUAGAAAAAUGUAUUUCUGUUGACAUCAUUUUAGGACACCUUGGGUUUAUUUCUAAUUGAUACUUGCUUAGGAGUGGCUACUGGUUUUGCAGAUUGAAGUUUUAUCCCCAAGUCUUCUUUUUUCUUAGAUUUAUUUAUUAUUAUACAUAAGUACACUAUAGCUGGCUUCAGACACACCAGAAGAAGGCAUCAGAUCACAUUACGGGUGGUUGUGAGCCACCAUGUGGUUGUUGGGAUUUGAACUCAGGACCUUCGGAAGGGCAGUCAGUGCUUUUACCCGCUGAGCCAUCUCUCCAGCCCCCUUAUUCCCAAAUCUUAAUGCAUUCAGUGUUCUUUAAAGUAUCUAUUGAGGUACAGCAUAAGUACAACAUUAUUUUGCUAGAUGCAGCAUAGUACCUGAUCUCAAGUUAUACUAUAGAUAACAAUAACUACAUUAUUAAUAGCUAUAAUAACAAAAGUAGCAUGAAAGGACAUAUAGCCUAAAGAAAUGAACU